AGAGUUUGAUCCUAGCUCAGGAUGAACGCUGGCGGUGUGGAUAAGGCAUGCAAGUCGAACGAACCUUGUGUAAUUGAAGUCUUCGGACUGAUUUUACACGCUGGUUAGUGGCGAACGGGGUAGUAACGCGUAGGAACGUACCAAAAAGUCAGGAAUAGCCCAUCGAAAGAUGGAUUAAUACUUGAUAGUCCCUCCGGGGUAAAGAUUUAUCGCUUUUUGAUCGGCCUGCGUAGUAUCAGCUUGUUGGUGAGGUAAUGGCUCACCAAGGCUAUGACGCUUAGGGGAGCUGAGAGGCUGACCCCCACCAUUGGAACUGCGACACGGUCCAAACUCCUACGGGAGGCUGCAGUCGAGAAUCUUCCGCAAUGAACGAAAGUUUGACGGAGCGACACCGCGUGAUGGAUGAAGCCUUUAGGGGUGUAAACAUCUUUUAUAGGGGAGGAAACUAUUGACGUUACCUUAUGAAUAAGGGGCUCCUAAUCUCGUGCCAGCAGGAGCGGUAAUACGAGAGCCUCGAGCGUUAUCCGGAAUUAUUGGGCGUAAAGGGUCCGUAGGUGGUUAUAUUAGUCUUUUGUGAAAGACCCAGGCUCAACUUGGGGAACGCAGAAGAAACGGUAUGACUAGAGGGUGUAAGGGGUGUGUGGAACUCAUGGUGUAGGGGUGAAAUCCGUUGAUAUCAUGGGGAACACCAAAAGCGAAGGCAACACACUGGUACACAUCUGACACUGAGGGACGAAACCCUGGGUAGCGAAUGGGAUUAGAUACCCCAGUAGUCCAGGGCCUAAACGAUGCAGACUAGUUUUGGGGAGUAUCGACCCUCUCCGAGACGCAGCUAACGCGUUAAGUCUGCCGCCUGGGAAGUACGAUCGCAAGAUUAAAACUCAAAGGAAUAGACGGGGACUCGCACAAGCGGUGGAUUAUGCGGUUUAAUUCGAUGAUAACCGAAAAACCUCACCAGGGUUAGAAACUUAUAUGACAGGUAUCAGAAACGAUACCCUUCUUCGGACAUAUAAGCAGGUGAUGCAUGGCCGUCGUCAGCUCGUGGUUUGAAUUGUUCCCUUAAGUGGGUCAACGAGCGCAACCCUCAUCAGUGUGUUAUACGUGUCACACGAGACUGCCCAGCCCAAUGCGUACAAGCGUAAGUUUGUAAAUAUUGGGCUGGGAGGAAGGAGAGGAUGACGCCAGGUCAGCAUGUCCCUUGAUACCCUGGGCUACACGCAUAAUACAAUGGCCGGUACAACAGGUCGCGACGAGGUAACUCUGAGCCAAUCCUAUAAAGCCGGUCCCAGUUCGGAUUGUGGUCUGAAACUCGACCACAUGAAGUCGGAAUCGCUAGUAAUCGCGGAUCAGCAAGCCGCGGUGAAUACGUUCUCGAGUCUUGUACUCACCGCCCGUCAAUUCAAGGGAGCCGGGGGUGCCCGAAGUCUGCACUAGAUGUGGCCUAAGGCAAAUUCGGUGACAGGGAAUAAGUCGUAACAAGGCACGGCUAGCGGAAGCUG
rnacentral:rRNA from 1 species